rnacentral:rRNA from 1 species
GACGAACGCUGGCGGCGUGCUUAACACAUGCAAGUCGAACGGAAAGGCCCUGCUUUUGUGGGGUUCUCGAGUGGCGAACGGGUGAGUAACACGUGAGUAACCUGCCCUUGACUUUGGGAUAACUGCAGGAAACUGGGGCUAAUACCGGAUAGGAGCCCCUGCUGCAUGGUGGGGGUUGGAAAGUUUCGGCGGUUGGGGAUGGACUCGCGGCUUAUCAGCUUGUUGGUGGGGUAGUGGCUUACCAAGGCUUUGACGGGUAGCCGGCUCGAGAGGGUGACCGGCCACAUUGGGACUGAGAUACGGCCCAGACUCCUACGGGAGGCAGCGGUGGGGAAUAUUACACAAUGGGAGGAAGCCUGAUGCAGCAACGCCGCGUGCGGGAUGACGGCCUUCGGGUUGUAAACCGCUUUCGCCUGUGACGAAGCGUGAGUGACGGUAAUGGGUAAAGGAGCACCGGCUAACUACGUG